UUUUCUAGGGCUUAAAGGUCUGGCAAUUUUGUUUGAAGGCGAAGCAUUUGGUUUGAUUUCUCUCCAGUUCAUUUGAUGAUUAGAACAGAGAUUCAAGCUAGUGAGUCGUGACCUGUUAUUAUUCCUGAUGAGGUUCUCAAACAACCAUUUCUUCGUAUGAAGGUGCUUACUUUCCCUUUUACAUUGGUUUUGUGUGGCCUUAUGAUGUUUUAGAGGCAAAUUGUCAAAUAGGUUGAGUGCAAGAUGCUCGAACUCGACAAGCUGUCACUUGAUAUGGUGUCUUAUAUAAGCAGAACGGUAUGCAGUUGAUUGUAGAACAGGAAAUUGUGUUGUGGGCUCUCUCUCAUGGCCUAAACCCUAGAUAACACAUCUUUGUCAAUACGACAAGGACACUAACUUCAGCUAGUUCAAUUUACCAGAGGACUUAAAUCACAGGACACAAAGAAAGUCAGCAAAUGUGUAGGCAAGAGUUGGAUGAAUUCCACCCAGAAGGAAAUGAAAGAGAUGAAACAAGAGAUUUAGAUAUUAAAGGCUCAAGUUGGUGAACUGCAUCAAUGUAGGAUGGAACUUCUAAGGCAAAUGUAAAAGACCGUGUCGUCUAGUUAUGAAACUUUCAUCAAUUUUAGCAAAUGAUUUUUUUAUUGGGAUAUGCUUUUAUUAGUAUCUAUACCUCUUAAUAAUGUGUAAUUACCAGGAAUUCUUGAGAUAUAAUUUUUUUUUUUUUUUUAAAUUU